CACACACACACACACACACACAUAACCAUACCGUCUGUACAGGAUGAAGGAGGCUUGCAUUCAGCUCCUGGCUCUGCUGCUGAUUAUUCACCAAGCGGUGGCUCUAGAGAACAGAGCGUGUGAGGCGCUGAGGUGUGAUUUUGUGUGCGACUGUACAGACUGCAGUGAUGAGCAGGACUGUGGUUAUCGGGGGAUGGAGUUUGUGUGUGAUUUUGAGGAUGCUGGAAUGUGUGGCUGGACAGACAGAUCGACUUAUGCUGGUUAUCAGUGGGAGAGGCGACAGAGAGGAGCUCAGCUACCCAGCAGUGGACCGACCUCCGACUAUACUAUCGGCACGUCUACAGGCUGGUUCAUGGGGGUGACAGAGGUGAAAGCAGAUUCUCUAAGAGCUGCUGUCCUGACAUCUCCUGUGAUCAGCCAGUCCGCCCACACCUGUCGCCUUCAUCUAUACUACUUUAUAUGGGACUCAGGUUAUACAGGCCUAGGAGACAGCUUUCUCUGGGCAUCAGUGCAGCAGCUUGAUGGGCAGCAUGCGGUGGUGUGGAGGCCGGAGAGCACAAGCAUUCGUGCAUGGAGAGAGGCCACCAUCUUCUUGGGUCGCAUCCCUGGUCCCUUCCAAAUAGAGCUUCACUCACACCGGGAAGAGGGGAGGCGGGGAGACAUAGCCAUCGAUCAGCUGGAGUUCCUGGACUGUGCUCUACCAGUUUCUUCAGGGAGUGGAGUGUGUUGGGCAGACGAUCUGAACUGUGAACGGGGAGGCUGUGUGGAGCAGCGCGCUGUAUGUGACGGGACUGACGACUGUGGAGAUGUAACUGAUGAACUGAACUGUGGUCAGUACUUGAGCUGUGACUUUGAGACUGACCUGUGUGGGUGGACCUUAGGAUCAUUUUCAUCACUGAAAUGGAUAAGGACCAAUCAGAUGAACGUUACCACAUCAGAGCCUCUAAGAGGACCUGGAAGAGACCACACCAACAAUUCUGCUUUAGGUCACUUCCUGUAUGUCACCAAGCCGGCUGUGAUGAAUAGCGAUUGGGCGUCUUUUCAAAGCCCUCGUCUGGAACAAACCAAUAGCACGCACCCUUGUCGUAUGGUGAUGUACUCACACCAGUUUGGCGGUGUGUCUGGGGGGCUGUCAGUUCUGGUGGCAGAAAAAGAAAUCUACCCAGUGUGGCAGCGAGGAGGAUCACUGGGUGAUUUGUGGGUGAAGGCCGAAGUUGAAUUUGUCGUCAACAGCACAUUUCAGAUAAUGUUUGUUGCUGCUAUUAGAGACCAGGCAUAUGGAGGCAUUGCUGUUGAUGACAUCUGGCUCUCCCCUGAAUGUCGCUUAUCUAAUGAAUCGAUGCCAAGGCCGACUUUCCCCAAACCACCCAAACACCCCUGCACAGAGGAUAGCAAGAUCUGUGACUUUUUAAGGGACUGCACAGAUGGAGAAGAUGAAUCACAAUGUGGGGACUUUUCCUAUGAGCAGGGAAGUACAGGCUGGACAGAUAUGAGCAUAGGAAGCCAAGGUUGGAAGCUCAACAGUGAACCCAAUGAUAUUUCUACAGAGGUGUUUUUGUAUGUGACCGGUGCCCCUGGUCAGCAGCUGACUGAAGCCCAGACUCGGACUCCUCUGCUGGGGCCUUCUGGCCCGAGCUGCACCCUACAGUUCUCCUACAGCAUCACAGGCAGCAACCCACACACAGGUGAACUGUCUGUAGCUGUAGUGGACAGUGUGUUGGGCACUCUGCCUCGACUGUGGGAGUUCAGUGGGCGAACAGGGCAGAACACUUCAUUGUGGGAAAAAGAGGAGCUCUAUAUUGGAGCCAGAGUUCAUCGCUUCCAGCUGGAGUUCAGAGCCCGUGCUCAGGAUUUGGCCACAGACACCAGAAUAGCAGUGAAGGAUGUUUUUUACAUCAACUGCCCUCCACAGUAUCUACCCUCCACUUCUGAUGGACUAUCAUGUAAUUUUGAGAGUGGUUUAUGUGCAUGGUACCAAGACCAAACAGAUAACUACGACUGGACUGUGCAGAAUGGAAAUGAUCACACUAUUGGCAUCGGGAGAAGUCUGGCGGUGGAUAUGUGGAACUCAACACUGCGUGGCCUUUCCGGACGUCUUCUCUCACUCCCUCAGUUUACAGUGACUGAGCACUGUCUCUACUUUUUUUACAAACUCUAUGGCCCUCAGACAGGUGCUCUCAGUGUUAAAAUAAAACAUGAGGACGGUGCAGAGGAGCUCUUAUGGACUCGUGUGGGUGCUCAUGGCAACAUCUGGCAGGAAGGACACUGUUCAGUACGCUCACAGCUUACUGAAUACCAGUUGGUGUUUGAGGCAGUGCGCUCAGGGUUUGAUGGGCAGGUGGCUGUAGAUGAUGUUGCAUUUGUAGAAAGAUCAUGCUCUCUUCCAACUAUGUGCUCAUUUGAGGGCAGCAAUUGUGGAUACAGCAGCAGUGGUGCUGCAAAGUGGAUCCUACAGAACUGGGAUUUUACCAGAACCGGCCCAGUGACAGACCACAGCCUUGAGACCACAAGGGGUUACUACAUGCUGGCCCACAGCGGUGUGGAGGUCCUUCCUGAGGGCAGUGUGAUGACCCUGACUUCUCCUUUAGGCCACAAUGUGGCAUUCACUGAAUGUGUCCGCUUCUGGUACCACACUGGGGGAGAUAACCCAGGCACUCUGAGUGUGUAUGUGAAGCCUCUUAAAGGGGUGAAAAACAAACUGUUCUCCAGCAGUCUGAGCCAGGGGGAUGUGUGGCGGCUUGGAAUGAGCAACAUCAGCUCUACUGAAAACUGGCAGUUGCAGUUCGAGGUGACAGGAGCUGGAGGAAAAGACACUUAUAUUGCCAUUGAUGACAUCAUCAUCUCAAGUCAUAGUUGUCCUUCUACAGGAGAGAUAUGUGAUCUGGAGCGAGGCCUGUGUGAAUGGACUAACACCCAGAACCCUGAUCUGGAUCUCUUGGACUGGGAGCUGAGCAGCUUACUGUUUGAAACUCACUACCCCACACCGCCGUAUGACCACACACUGGGGAACGAGAGGGGUCACUUCUUGUUUCUUCCGCACACUCUGCGGGACACUGCAGGCCAGAAUGCAUGGCUCCUUAGUCCUCAUUUACCAUCUACCAAAGGCACUUGCUUGCGAUUUUGGGUUCAUCAGCCUGUUGCUGAUGACAGCAUGUUAAUGGUGUGGAGACUGUCCAAAGGAAACAAACAUAAGGUGCUGAGCUUGACUCAUGCUGGGCAAACCUGGCAAUCAUUCCGUAUCACCAUCACCUCAGACGAAGAGUACCAGAUUGUGUUUGAAGGAUUUAAAGGAGCAAAUGGAGUUCUUGCUCUGGAUGACUUUGGCUACACAGUUGGGAUUAACUGUGUUGGAGAGCAGACAGACCCCACCACAUCACCAUCGCCUGACCACACAGGAGGGAUAGUUGCAGCCGUGCUGGUCACCAUUAUACUGGCAACAGCAGCGUGUGGCUUAGUGGUGUACUACCUGAAAAAGCGUGCUAUCUCUCAGGAGCCAAGUCUAAUAGAGACAUCCCAUACAGGCUUUACCAAUGAACUGUAUGACUCUGGUGACAUGGAUGCUCACGUGACUGUUCCUAGCAUCUCUGAACAGGUGCAAGAGGAGGAGACAUAGGUUGUGCUGGUGACCGAGCUGUCUGGAGGUGGUCUUUAUGCAAAUCAUGUAUUACUUUUUGUAGUUUUGUAGGGUCAGACUCAUCAUUAGUACCCACAUAUACACCAACACACACACAAUACCACCUCGCAUAAAGUGUUUUAUAGUACGCAUAUUUAUAUUGAUAGAUUUCAUGUUGUAAGACCACAAAAGCUGUGACUGAAGUACAGAGUGUAUGCUGUAAAGACAUGUGUGCCAUCAUAAAUAUUGAUGUCAAUAAGUCGGUAUGUACAGGGGUUGGACAAUGAAACUGAACCACCUGUCAUUUUAGUAUGGGAGGUUUCAUGGCUAAAUUGGAGCAGCCUUUUGACCAAUCUUCAUUAAUUGCACAUUGCACCAGUAAAAGCAGAGCGUGAAGGUUCAAUUUUUUACAAUGCACACAACAUUAUGGGUGACAUGCCACCAUCUGUGACCAAGACAGCAAGUCUUUGUGAUUUAUCAAGAGCCACAGUAUUCAGGGUAAUGUCAGCAUACCACCAAGAAGGACCAACCACAUCCAACAGGAUUAACUGUGGACGCCGUAAGAGGAAGCUGUCUGAAAGGGAUGUUUGGGUGCUAACCCGGAUUGUAUCCAAAAAAAACAUAAAAUCCCGGCUGAACAAAUCACGGCAGAAUUCAAUGUGCACCUCAACUCUCCUGUUUCCACCAGAACUGUCCAUCAGGACAAUGAAUUAUUGUGGUCUAAAACCAGGUGUUUCAGUUAUAUUGUCCAACCCCUGUAUGUUGAGGUCAGAGGGGGAGCAGUUCUUGUUAUAUUACUAUUUGGGACACUGCUUGCUUGUAUUGCCCCUUAAAGAUCAUAGAAAGAGAUUUCUUAUCCUUUAGUCCCUUAGUUAUUAUUACAUUCAGUAGAUUUACUUCCUAUGUAAUUCGUUUAAAAGAAAACAAAAACAAUUGAACUGUCAUUACUUUGUAAUGAUUUUGUUGAGAAUCAACAGUUUUUGAGUUUGUGUGUGUCUUUAAACCCCCUGCAUGUAUUAUAAACUAUAUAAAAUGCACGCGCACACACACAGUGGGCCUCAUUCAUGAAUCCUUUGUAAAAUAAUGAGCAAGCUGCAAACUGAAUUAAUUUAUUUAGUUCAUGAAUACUAAUGAUUAUGGUUUGCAAAUUGGUAGAGGCAAAGACAUUUGCAUCCUGCGUGAUCUAUUACAAAUACCAUUCACCAUUUAACACCCAUGAAUUACAAAUGACCACCACAUUUUUUUAUAAACAAUGAGCAUACAGUGCUGUGAAAAUGUGUUUGCCCAUUUAUUUACACAUUGAAAUUUUAGAUAAAAGAGAACCUGAGGGAAUAUAAAAAGCUGUUUUAUUUACAUGAUGAUUUCAUAUAAUAAUGAAAAAAGCAAUCCAAACCAACCUGACCCUAUGUGAAAAAGUAAUUUCCCCUAAAGCUAUUAGCUAGUUGUGCUUUGGCUCAUUGUCCUGCUGCAGAACCCAAGUACGCUUGAGCUUAAUGUCACAAACUGAUGUCUGGACUUUCUUCUUCAGGAUUUUCUGGUAAAGACAUGAAUUCUCAUGUUUUUAUCAAUUACAGCAAGUCACCCAGGUCCUGAAUCAGCCCCAAACCAUCACACUAGGACCACCACCUUUGUGUUCGUUUGGGUUAGCAGUGGUUUUCACAUUGGAACUCUUAUUUUUUUUAUUAUUUAAUCAUUUACACAUGAGCUUAACUGAGGCAAGAGAGGUCUGCAGUUCUUUUGAUAUCGUUCUGGGUUCUUUUUUCACUUCCUGGAUGAGUUGUCCAUGCCCUUUUGGAGUAAUUUUCGUAGGCCGGUCACUCUUAGGAAGAUGGUCUGCUGGAGUACUUUUUCACAUAGGGCCAGGUUUGUUUGAUAAUCUGAAAAAUGUAAGUAUGACAAGAAAGCCAAAAACAAAAGAAAAUUGUAAAUUGAGUUACACCUGUUGUGCAAUAUCUCCUUUAAAAUAAAUCUGUCCUCUAGCUAAGUUUGUACUUGAUCCAAUUCCGAAUGCUGCACAUGUGCACUCUCUACAAAUGAGUUCUGCUCAGGUUUCAUAAAUGAGGCUCAGUAAGUGUGUGGGGUUGAGUUGUGGUUUGUGUCCUACUUACUGUGCCGACAUGUUUGUUCACUUUCUGACCAAGAAUUGAUUCCUUACUGGAAUUUCCGUGGGUUGUACGGGAAUCCAUUGUUUUUUACAGUAGUGCAAAGCCCAAAUGUCUGUACGUGAUUUUCUUCUGGGUUUUUUUUUUUUUUUUUUUUUUUUUUAAUUGAUUCACAAUUAAUUAAUGGAGAUAAAAAAAAAAUGAAUUCCCAGUUGAGGCCUUACCAUAUUCUGAUUGCUGUGUAUAAUUGUAAUGAAAGUUCCUGCUCCUGCAUUUUAAAAGUACAGUAUGUGUAAUCCAGACCCUUGAACUGUUGGUUGGUUAACCAUUGGAAUUUCUGAAGCACAAAACGGCACUUUUUAAUAGAAUUAGAUUCUGUCAGUGGACGGAUUGUUGAUUGUGUGUGUGUUUUUGUGUGUGUGUGUGUGUGAGAGAGAGAGAGAGAGAGAGAGAGAGAGAGAGAGAGAGAGACCUCCUCUAACCAAUAUUCCCAAAUCCACUGAAUGUAGUAUUAGCUGUAGAUUCACUCCAGCCUUUACUGUGAUUUUCUUCAUACACUCUGAAAAAUAAUAAAGAUGCUAGAAAAGAAGUUGAGUAAUGCCAUAGAAGAACUACAAACUGUAGGCCAUCUCCCUAAACCUUCAUAAGUUAAAAUAUGUUUUAAAAUAGCAACAGUUUUACUGCUGCUAUAGACUUUCACAUGUGUAUGUUUUAUUAUUGUAGCACGACAGUGUAAGUCAGUGCUUAUAUAGUAGUUGCUAUCAAAAAAAAAAAACUAUUUAAGGUUAACUAACCAGCUAAGCAUCUGUCUUGUAGUCCUUCUGGGAUCUAAGCUCUCUACAUCUGUCAAGCACAUCACAUUAAUAGUACUAAGGUAUUUGCAUUUCAUGCAGUGUCUGGCUGUGAAGUUCUUUGGAAAGAUGCAGAGGCUGCAGAACACUGUGUUGCCUGCUAUUGUGUUCCAUACCUGGCAACCCAGGAUGUGGAAUAAGGACUGGGGAAUGGGCAGUGGACGUUUCUGUGUUGUAAUGAACAAAUUUCUAAUAAUUUUCUCUUAGUACAGAAAUAUAAUACAUACUCAUCUAUAAUGUAUCAUGAAUCCAUUGAGAAUUGAGCAUAUAUUGUCUUAGUCCUACAAGGGUAACUUUUAGGAUCUAUGAAACUUGUAGUAAGUCAUGGUUCUCCCAGGUUUAAAGCAUUUUAAAACAUCAUAAAUCUUUUAGAAGAUGUGAUUUAAUUCAAGUAACCUUUUAAAAGGUUAAAGACCCUUAAUUUAAUCUCUACAACAAGCCUGGUUCUGUGUUAAGUGGCUCUUCUAAGUCAUUGCUCAAAGAAUCCCUUUAUUGCACCUUUAUUACAUUACUUAAUAAGAGUGUAGUAGCAGCAGCAGCCCUACUUUUUCUUCACCUUCAACACAGGCAAAACCUUUUAUCUCACCCAGAUUCAUAUGUAACUCAUGUAUGUCAUGUUUCACCCUGUUUAAAUACGAAUACUCUGUCAGGAAUGUUACUCAUUACUAUCUCAUUAUAUCUGUGCAUCUGAUUGUUUUGGAUCUGUGUGUGUGUCUGUGGGGUGUGUGUGUGUGUGUGUGUGUAUGCUCAUGUGCAUGCCACAAGCAUAUAACUAUACAAUAAUACAAUAUUCAGUACUGUGAGAAAUGUCUCAUUCGAUAAUAAACAUAUUUUAUGGCACAGAGAUGAACUUUUAAUGGUGCAGACAAAACACUUGAACGCACAGUUUUACAGUUCUCUGAUCAUCUUCCAAAGGAGAAGCACUGUGUUCUAAUGAAGCUCAAACUGGUAGAAAAUGCAGCAUUUUAAUACGUCAUCAAAUGCAGGGGGUGGACAACAAUCUAUCUAAAUUAAUGAUGAUGCUCCUCUGACUUGAUGAUGUUACUGCACUAUGUAAGUGAGCAAGACAGUGCUGUGUAACUCUAGUCAUGUUUGUGUAAAAUCCUGUAAUAUUUCUAUACCACCUCAGUCCACAUGCUUCUUUCAGUUGUUGUGCCAUUUCUGUAUCUCUCAGCUUGUCCAGAAAUGCAUGUGUAGACUGUGUAGAUUCUUUAGUAGCUUUAGUAGUGGCUCACAAAACACUUCCAGACAUUAGAGGGAGCCCAAGAGCAAGAAAUUACCCAGACCAUACUUAUGCAUACGUUGCACUUUUUAAUAAAAAAAUGAAAAAGCAAAAAUUACAUUCACAUUCAAUUUAGAAGACCCAACACACAUAUCCCACAGGUCAGCGCAGUGUCCUGUGGCUUCUAUGGGACCAUGGGACAUGAUACUAGUUCCUGUUCCAUGACUUUUUUGAAAAUAAUGAUUUAAUAUGUACAAACCAAAGCAAUGGCUUAGCUUAGUUCCACUAAGUUAGAAUAAAGGACAUGUCUCCCAUUUCCAUACUAAUCAUCCAACCUGGUGCAAUACUGGUAUAUUUUAACUUAGAAUGAUCUUUACAUUUACAUCCGUAUAAUAUUUUUAGCUGCUAGCAUUAGCAUUAUUUUGUCCAUCUCCUGUAUCAGUAUGACUGAUGACAUUUUCAGAGUAUAUGGUCACCAUCAUGAAAAAAACAUGUAUCUUCAGAUCUUGUAUUUUGACAUAAUUUAAAUCUGGAAGUUGUUCUUUACAUGGUAAUAGAAUUUAAUGACCGAUAGGAAUGAUUAACAUGACUUGGAAAAAACUUUAUAUAUUGACCACUGAAAGGUCCAGAGGACUAAGACACUGUCACUAUAAUCCAAAGAGCGUCAGUUCGAAUCGCAGAUCAUGCUGCUUGCCAUCAGCAGCCGGAGUCCGAGAGAGAGCACGAUUGGCAUGGCUCUAUCUGGGUGGGUACUCUAGAUAGCGUGCUCUCUCUCUUUCUCCUUUAUCACUCAGUGUGAUACUAUUAGUGUGAUGUUGGUCAGCACAGGCAUCUGUUAGCGGAGUUAUCCGAGCUGGGGACCGGCUGCGCUGUGAUUCUACCGAUGAUUCUGCAUUAGUAGCUGUGGCUGUUUAAAAAAGCUUGUUUUUGCUCUUACGUUCCCAAUGUUUAGGGCAUUACUAGUGAUAGAGGGAGUUUGUAUGUAUGAUAAUUGGUCAUUUAGCCUUCUAAAUUGUAUAGUCAUUAUUGGAGAUAUGGUUCUUGCAUGAUGGUGACUAUGUACUACACAUGCAUGCUUUAAAUUUCCAACAACACCAUGCCUUAAACGACCUGUACUAAAGGCAGAAAUGGUAGCACUGUUAGUUCUGUUCUUACCUGUAGCCAAUUAUUUGGUUCACGCUCUCUGUGCCACUGUGAAUAAAUGCCACUGUCUCAGUCAGCAAGGCUCUGCGCUAUUCGUUUCAUAUUAUUAUGUGUAUAUUUCCUGCUCUACGCCUGUUAAUCUCACUUCUCACUGAAAGACAGAGUUAUUCAAUUGUGGAAUCUGCAGUAAAGUCGUUUAAUCCUGGGUCCUAACCCAAGCUGCAUGUACUGGCACCCAUGCUUUACUUCUCACCACCAAAGGUUCUACAGCUUUACGACCUCUCAUCAUCCGUCAUCGCGUGUCACUCCUCUCCGUCGACUCUGGGUGGCCUGUGGUUUUGUAUUUUUCUAUUGGAAACAGUGAUUCUGUGUAUACGAUGUUCUUACGGGAAAUGUUCUGGCCUGAUGCUUGUUUGCAGGUUUUGGAAAACAGUAGCACCAUUGUGGAUCAGUGUAAUGUUAAAACAAGAAGAAAUAUUUGAGAAUCAGAAAUGUACAGUGUUCUAAUAAAAUCUCAUCAACCUCUA